AAAUUAAAAUAAUUUAUUCAUAUGUUGGUUUUGAUGCAUAGACGUAAAUCUUUUCACAUCCAACUUUGAUCACAAGGAUAGUUCUUAAAUGUAGAGUUUAUUUUUUUUUGAAAUUUGAUGAUGAGUUUCUUAAAUUUUGUUUAAUGUAUUAAAAAAAUAAUUAUGAUAAAGUGUAAUAGGUCAAGGGUGUUAUUAGUCGGAGAUGAAUUUUCAUUUUUUGCAUAUACUGUCCUGAAUAUUAAUGUUACAAAAAAAAACUUUUAAAACUAUUAUUGAUAUAGAGUGAUUUUUUUUAUCAUAAACGGGCAAUUAUCUUGGAUGAUUUAAAGAGAAUUUGAUUUCUAUUUUUUCUAAUUAAAAAUUUCAUACCUAUUACCCUUCCCUACUCUUCCGCUUUAAACUUUAAACUAUUCAAAUUCAUAAAUGGUAAAUAUUAUAUUAUUGUUAUGACGCAUAUCAACAUUUCUAGAAAAAUAUUCUCCAUUAAAAUCUGUGUUCAAAAAGAGGGUUCCUGUUUGAAAAUCUAAAGAAUAUACUUAUUAAAGGUACACGGAGUAGGGGUAAAAAAUUAAAAAUGGUUUUAAAAUAAAGUUUAAAUGAUUCCAUAAUGAUUAUAAAAACAGAAAUAAAAUUCACUUAAAACCAUCUGAGAUAAUUGUUUGUUCAUAAUAAAAAAUUCACUCUGUUUUUACAAAAUAAAAGUUCCUUAUAAAUUUGUUGUAAAAUGUAUUGCUUUCUAUAAAUUUAAAUUAAAAAAAAACUGGUCAAAAUUAAUGUUUCAGGAAACCGGAUUAGGUAGUUUUUAGUUUUAGAUUUUGAGUGCAGCGAAGAAGCUUAUGGUUGUUACAAAAAAGUUUAUUUUUUUAUUUUUUUUUCUGUAGACAAUUUUUCUACUAGAGGACUUGCUCCGAUUUUUACGUAUAGCAUCUUCUCUUAAAGGAAAUCGGUGUGGGGAGGUAUCUUAGAAUAGUCAUUUUUCAAUUUUCUCAAGAGUUUUCACUUCAAAUGCAAAAAACCAAAAAUAAAAACAAAGAAAUGUAUAAUAUUAAAUUUUUUUUUUCCUGUGGAUAAAUUUUCUACCAGCAAUUUUGCUCCAUCUUUUAAUAAUAGCAAAGUAUUCUAAAAGAAAUUUCAAUUGCAAGGUACUUUAAAUAGGUUGUUAUUCGAUUUUUUCUGAAUUUUUUUUUUAAUAAAUGUGAAGAACCGGGAAAAAACAUGGGACAACCAGGAAAAACUAGGAAAUUCGGUACAACAUAAACAAAUAUUAUUAAAGAAAAUGUAUAAAACCAAUUUAAUUAUUUUACUUUAAUAUGGCCUAUAUAUUGUUGAUAAAGUAAGACUAUCAACUGAACUCGCUCAUAUUGGUUUUUUUGUAAACAAUGGUUUAUUGUUGCUUACAAGUACACAUUAAAUUACCUAUAACAGUGACUACACCCAUCCUCAUUAUUCUAGGAUAUCUAUUUUACCUUGAAUUUUUUAAAUAUUAUAGUUACAAAAAAGGGUCUUUGAUGAUUAUUUAAUCCACCAUGAGUCGCAUCAUUAUUUGUAACAUAUGUGAUCGCACAAUGUUUUUUUGACUGUUCACUUAUAUCUUAUAUUUUUUUUUAAACGUUUUACAUACAAAUGCAUUUAUUAAUGAUUUUCAAAAAUUAUACUUCAUUUAUUUACUAUAUUUUACAAUAAAAGUUGGUAUUAAUGGAACUAUUAUAUUACAGCUUAAAGUGAAAAUUACUCUUUUAAUUAAGUCUACAUUUUACAAAUAAAAUAAAUAAUAAUCAUUAGUAUUUAGUACUGAACGAGAUAGUCCCUAAUACCAGUAACACCUAUAUAAUCUAUAGUUGUGGACUGCGUUAUUACUGAUCACGUUCGUUACGCGAUGAACUUGGUCAGUAGUAGUCGAGUAUUUUGUACAAAAUCCGAAGACGUUAUCAAUUUUAUCACAGUGAAGAAUUUUUGUUAGCAGUGAUUAUUUUAAAAUACGAUUUUUAAUGACCAAUAUAUGUAAUGCAUAGAUAUGUAUAAUAAACUAGAUAGGAUUAACAAAACUACACGAGGGUGGCCGAACGGCUAUAAAAUGGCUUGAAGAACUAAAUACUCGUCUGUGAUUUCUAUUGUUAUUAUAAUUUACUAUGACCUAUCAUACUAACAUUUUAUAUAUUUUUUAUUAUUUUUUUUUUAAUUAUUUGACUAGUUAUCUUAAUUAUCAUAUUUAUUUAUUCGUUUUAAUUUUACUAAAUUUAUCUAUAACAAACAUUUCUCACGUUAUCUAAAGUCGAAUAUGUCAUAUAAAAAAAAUCAUAUUAUAAACUAGAUUGCUAACCACUGAUAAUAUGAGAAAUUAUAUUCCCUCCCUGUGUAACUGUACUCCAUGUCUCAUUGCCGCCAACCAAAACAAAUGAAAAAUUGUUUAAGUAAAUAUAAGAUAUAAAAAUCGCAAAAUCUGGCAACUCUGAGAAACCGACGCUCGUUAGUACUAACUGUUGUUCGAUUGUGUUUAUUACUUUUUUGAUUUACUGGCCGCCAUCCGUCUUGUAAUUAUUUUUAUUAUUCGUUUAUUUUUUUACGGUUUCGAGUUUGUUGCAUAACUUCCAAUUUCCAUAAUGUCUGUACAAUUUGACAUUCUGAAGUCGAGUGUUUAUUAACAUCCGGUUUUAUUUUCUUUCAUUUUACGUUAUUUUUGUUUUGAGUAUUUCAUCGUACUCUAAUAUGGAACAAUGUAAUGUAAUUUCUGGAACUUCCGUUAUCGAAGUGUACACCGUAUGUCCCGGUACAGUGUUAAAAUUGAAGAAUAAAUCGGUGUCUCGGUCUAUGGAAGAAGGUUCUGCUUUUCAUAUGUUAAUGUACCAUUUCAAAAAAGGUAGGUACAUAACCUAAAUACAAUAAUUAAUUAGGUUGAAGUUUGGCUCUUUGGGUAGAAAAACAAAUUUCAACAUUUCGAAAAAUGUCAAAUACAUAUAUUUUCAAUGAUUUAGUACCAUUUGACUAUUGACCUAUGUAACGUUUCAGAUGAAGAAUUACUAUGUUAUUCAGCUCGCACAUGGACAUUAUUGCUUUACAAAGCAAAAUGUCUAGACCGCCGCCCGAGUCCUUAACCAACUCCAAAUGAAAAAUAUAAGAUGGCGAAAUACCUGGUUCACUACAUAGGAUGGCAUGAAAAAUGGGAUCAAUGGGUGACUGAUGACUGAUUAAUAAAAAUAACAGAAAUUAAUUUAAAACAUAAGGAACAAUUACGAAUACAAGCAGAGAUUUAGUAUAUUUGUACAAAUUACAUUAGCAUACUAUAUUGAUUAAAAUAUUAUUAUUGUUUAUUUUAUGUUCAGUUUUGAAUCGCAAAACUCGCACAAGACUGUCAAAAGAAGAAAAUAAACAACGCGAAGAAACUAAGAAGAUAACAAAACGUAAAGCUACUCAACUAAUAUCUUAGUUUAGGUUUAAUAUUCAAGUAAUCAAUGCCAAUUUUUUAAUAUAAUAAAAUGUAUUUGUAAUGUUAUAAAAACAUGAGAAAUAAAAGCGAUUUUUAAGGAAAUCGGUGUGAGAAGGUAUGUUUUGAUUUUUUCCGGAGUUUUCUCAACAAAUUUAUUAAACCAAAAAAAAAAAAAACUAGAUUUUUGUAUAAAAUAUACAUGUUUAUUAUGAACGGCCCCGCAAGAUUUGUAGAAAAUAAUAUGUGGCUCGCUGCAUGAAAGGAUUGAAGUCAUCUAGCUUUAAUGGUCUAUAUAAAUCUAUAUAAAUAUAUAUAUAUAUAUAUAUAUAUAUAUAUAUAUAUAAUUAAUUUCUAUUUGAAUGUCUAACAGAGUAAUCGUCACCAUUAUUAUAUUUUAUCACUUUUAUUUCUCAUGUUUUUAUAAUUAACAUUAUAACAUUACAAAUACAUUUUAUUAUAUUAAAAAAAUUGGCAUUGAUUACUUGAAUAUUAAACCUAACCUAAGAUAUUAGUUGAGUAGCUUUGGGUUUUGUUUCCUUCUUAGUUACUUCGCGUUGUUUUUUUUUCAUCUUUUGUUAGUCUAGUGCGGGUUUUGCGAUUCAAAACUGAACAUAAAAUAAACAAAAAUAAUAUUUUAAUCAAUAUAGUAUGCUAAUGUAAUUUGUACAAAUAUACUACAUCUCUGCUUGGAUUCUUAGUUGUUCCUUAUAUUUUAAAUUAAUAUCGGUUAUUUUUAUUAAUCAGUCAUCAGUCACCCAUUCAUCCCAUUUUUCAUGCCAUACUAUGAAAUGUACCAAGUAUUUCGCCAUCUUAUAUUUUUCAUUUGGAGUUGGUCAAGGACUCAGGCGGCGGUCUAGACAUUUUGUUUUGUAGAACAAUAAAUCGGUGUCUCGAUCUAUGGAAUAAGGAUCUCCUUUUCAUAUGUUAAUGUACCAUUUCAAAAAAGGUAGGUACAUAACUUGAAUACAAUAAUUAGGUUGAAGUUUAGCUCUUUGGGUGGAAAAACAAAUUUCAACAUUUCGAAAAAAUGUCAAAUACAUAUAUUUUCAGUGAUUUAGUCCCAUUUGACUAUUGACCUAUGUAACAUUUCAGAUGAAGAAUUGCUAUGUUGUUGGUCUCGCACAUGGACAUUAUUGCUUUAAUCAGUUUUGAUUCGAAAACUCACACGAGACUGUCAACAGAUGAGAAAAAACAACUCAAAGAAACUAAGAAGAAAACAAAACACAAAGCUACUCAACUAACAUCUUUUAAUAUAAUAAAAUGUAUUUGUAAUGUUAUAAUGUUAAUUAUAAAAACAUGAGAAAUAAAAGCGAUGAAAUAGAAUAAUGUUGAUGAUUACUCUGUUAUACAGUCAAAUAGAAAUUAAUUAUUUAUAUAUAUUUAUAUAGACCAUUUAGGCUAGAUGACCUCAAUACUUUCAUGCAGCCGGCCGCAUAUUAUUUUCUACAAAUCUUGCGUUGCCGUUUAUAGUAAACAUGUAUAUUUUAUACAAAAAUCCAGUUUUAUUAUUGUAACUUUUUGAUUUAUUUUAAAUUACAAGCUAUUAUUAUAGUUAAAACAUAUUUAAAUUUUGAAAUACAAAUUAUUUAUUUUAUAUUUAUUGUGAUGACAUUGUUGUUUUUCACUAAUUUUUCUAUAUUUGGUUGGUCCUGAGAUGCUUUAAUCCUCAGCGAGUUUUCUAAGUGUAUGUCAGUAAACUGAAUACUAGUUUUCGAUUUGAUAAUCUAUAUUUGUGAAUGUUAGAAAAUUGUAUUUAAUAGGGUUAGAACUCUUUGAACGAUGACUUUAAAAUCCCUUUACCACUUUUGCUUUUUUUACAAUUUAAGCGCUUUUUUAUGGAUUUCAAGUGUAUAUAAAUUUGGUCCCUAGUGAUAAUUAUUUUAAUUAUGGG
rnacentral:lncRNA from 1 species